rnacentral:rRNA from 1 species
AUUACUCCUACGGGAGGCAGCAGUGGGGAAUAUUGCACAAUGGGGGAAACCCUGAUGCAGCGACGCAGCGUGCGGGAUGACGGCCUUCGGGUUGUAAACCGCUUUCAGCAGGGAAGAAGCGAGAGUGACGGUACCUGCAGAAGAAGUACCGGCUAACUACGUGCCAGCAGCCGCGGUAAUACGUAGGGUACGAGCGUUGUCCGGAAUUAUUGGGCGUAAAGAGCUCGUAGGUGGCUGGUCACGUCUGCUGUGGAAACGCAACGCUUAACGUUGCGCGUGCAGUGGGUACGGGCUGACUAGAGUGCAGUAGGGGAGUCUGGAAUUCCUGGUGUAGCGGUGAAAUGCGCAGAUAUCAGGAGGAACACCGGUGGCGAAGGCGGGACUCUGGGCUGUAACUGACACUGAGGAGCGAAAGCAUGGGGAGCGAACAGGAUUAGAUACCCUGGUAGUCAAU